GGCAGUGCAGGGAGGCUGCAGGCAUCCAGCGGCGGCCUGGAGGCCCAGCGCCCACACCUGCAGCCUCUGAGGGCCCCACCAAAUCCUGCCGGGACCCUCCCAGCAGCAGGCGCGCGGAUGCUCACAGGGCACUCCAGCGGGGCCGGCUCGUCGGGGAGCUGAGCGCAGCGCAUCAGCACUUUCAGCUCUAUCAUUCCCUUACAGACUUUUAACCUCCUGGACGGAAGAAUUCAGUCCGGCUUGUUGCCUCUCUCCGCUGACUCGAGAAUCCAGCCGGAGUCGCUACGUCACACUUCCUGCAGCAGCCCAAGGGUCAGGAGUUCACCCGCUGAACCGUUUGCCUGGGGAGCCGUGGUCCUAAUAAGCAUGACAUCCUCCCCCAAAGCUUCAGCAGCUGUGUUUCCCCCUGGCUCGGAAGGGAAGGAACCAAAUAAAGCAGCAGGAGGAAUUACGUGGUGCAGAACUGCUCAGCGUGGGAUUCCAGGUCCAAAGAGAACUUUCUAGACUGCCAAACCCACCCUAGGUGCAGAGAACUGCAAUCCAGCUGAGCUUGCAUCUUCAAUUCUCGGUCUACACUUUUCACUGGAUGAAGCAGAAAUCUGGAAGGCUGAACCACCAGCUGAUGGCUUAAGGCCCCCAAGCAUCUCUCCCAGGCGAUGGAAGACUGGCAGAGGGCUAGAAGCUGGGCAGACAAAAGUGUCCCAGUCCCUAGAACCUGUGCUCCUACAUUAUUCCUGGGAGCACCAACGUAAAAGAGAUUUCUGAGAACUCACAACCUACCACUCACCACCAAAGGCAACAGGAGCGGAGAGAUCGAGGGGCUGCAAAGUUUGGGAGGGGGUUGAAGAGGAACUAAACACCUGACUAGAUCAGAACAGGCGAGAGAGAAGGGGGCUCCUGGCUGUUAGUCUAGGACUCAAAAUUAUUAUUAUUUUUAAAACCAGUAGGAAAAAAAUUUAACCUGAAUGAAACACCUCUGUGUACUAGGCUAGGGAGCACACAGCCAAGUAUAAAGGGCAGAGCCCAUUUGGGGGGCAAGAC
rnacentral:lncRNA from 1 species